rnacentral:rRNA from 1 species
UACAGAGGGGGCAAGCGUUGUUCGGAAUUACUGGGCGUAAAGGGCGCGUAGGCGGCCUUCUAAGUCAGACGUGAAAUCCCUCGGCUCAACCGGGGAACUGCGUCUGAGACUGGAAGGCUUGAAUCCGGGAGAGGGAUGUGGAAUUCCAGGUGUAGUGGUGAAAUGCGUAGAUAUCAGGAGGAACACCGGUGGCGAAGGCGGCAUCCUGGACCGGCAUUGACGCUGAGGCGCGAAAGCAUGGGGAGCGAACAGG